rnacentral:lncRNA from 1 species
AAAGCCCUGAGGAAGGCGACAAUAAAUUUCCUAAAGCUUGGUAGCUAAAAAAGUUUUGAACUGCCCCUAUCGAAUACUUGCAUUACCAAUUUAGAACGGUAGAUACAAAAAAUUUAAAGUCUCCUUCUAUAAUAGAUAUUGCAUCGUCAAAUUCCCCACUGUGUGAUCUUAUGUCCGCCCCUUUUCCAUAGCGCAGGCGUUAACACAGCUUACAAACACGUUUAUUAGAUAUACUUAAUUGCACAUACCUCACGAACAACCUGUAUAUUACAAUAAGCUCACAUUAUAUAAUUGCGCCCUUAGCAUUUUUUUCUUAAAAAUUCGAAAAUUAAUUAACAUCAAACCUGUUACUUUCCAGUCUCAUAAAACAUUAUACUAUUAUUACAGCAUGAAGGUUGGCAAAUCUCUGGUCGUUCUUGAAUAUGUUAAAGAUGCUUUAUAAGUCGGUCAUUGAGCUUGAAAUCAUCUAAAGCAACCGGCCAAGUGAUUUCGAUUAUCAUUUCUCGAUGUAUUAGUGAAAGAACGGCUGUUGAGUUGUUUUACCUGAUUCACCUACACAUGUUACGGGACUUACCCCAACUUUAAACUGUCAUUUAUUCCGGCUUUUGACUACUUAUAAAUAUUCUAAAUUUUUCGUCAGUGCAAUGAACUGCUUUCUACCGUUGCUAAUUAGUAUGAUUUUAUCAACAGUGCAAUCAGACUGUAGAAUCGACCCUUUGAGACUUCGACCGACUCCACUAAUCAUUAAUCAAAACCAUCAAAUCAUAUAUUCUAAUGCUUCUCACACUGGAGUACUACUAGUAAAAGGAAAAGAAAUAAGCAUUUUUUGUCCCGGGUCUCGAUUAUUAUAUCAGAAUAAAGAUAUUGCAAAACAUGUUGAAAUCUCGUGUAUAGAUGAAGACAUAUUUAACUAUCGCGGCCAGGAGCUAAAUUUCUACGAUUUCAGGUGCCAGGAUAUUCCGAAAGAUGUAAUUAGAUACACUCAGAGAACUUGUUCUGCAGGAGGGCAGGAAAUUGAAAUCGGAUAUCCCAUUUCUUCUAAUCAGUUCGUGUGACAAAUAAAGGUCUGUUUCGACAGUUUUAACCUGACUCCAAUGUACUCCCACUAUAAUUUAACAUCCAAUAUUGGAUACCGAGACGGUAAAGUGCCAAGGAAGUUUUUUCAAGAAGAUGGAUUUUACUCCACUUCCAAUUCCCUGGAUAAUUUAUAUCAAAGGGACAAUGAAAGGCGGACAAUAAAUCAGUUGCUAAACCUGGACAGUAACUCAGACGCGUAUAUUAAAUGAUACAAUGAUGAACGUUUUAUUAACAGAGGACAUCUCACUGCCAAAGGCGAUUUUGUCUAUGCCUUUCAGCAAUUGGCUACAUUCCACUAUGUAAACUCAGCACCGCAAUGGGCAUCUUUCAAUGGGGGCAACUGGAACGAGUUAGAAAUCAGUGUUCGUGAUCUGGCAGAUUCCACAUCUUCUAACCUGGAAGUGUACACAGGAGUAUAUGGCACCACUACACUAAGAAAUGCCAAUAAUUUUCAGAAAACUCCGUUGUUUCUGCACACUAUCAAUGGCAAUAACCUGAUGCCGGUUCCUCAACUAUUUUGGAAAAUCAUUUAUAACAGACAAAGUGAGCAAGGCAUCGUAGUUCUGGUAUUAAUAACGCCUACGAAAUUAAUUUAAAUGAAGAUGUUAUUUGUCGGGACGUAUCUGAUCGCAUUACGUGGUUUAACAAUAAAAUGAAGCGUCAGAAGCAUAAUACAGAAUUAGGGUACAUUUAUGCCUGUUCGGUAGCUAAUUUCUGCGGCAGAACUACACAUUGUCCUCUAUUAAAUGUCAAAAAUGUAUUAUUAUAAUAAUUCAAUUAUUCCACCCGUA